CCUUGUAGCAAUACCGGGCUGGGGGAAGUGGCGAAAGGGGUAGUAAGGCGUGGGUAACCUACCCUGGGGAUCGGGAUAGCCUUCCUAACGGAAGGGUAAUACCGGGCGAUUUGGCGAGGUGGCAUCAUCUUGCCAGGAAAUGAAUUUCGCCUCGGGAGGGGCUCACGUGAUAUUAGCUAGUUGGCGGGGUAACGGCCCACCAAGGCUGAGAUGUCUAGCGGGUGUGAGAGCACGACCCGCGCCACUGGCACUGAGACACUGGCCAGACACCUACGGGUGGCUGCAGUCGAGGAUCUUCGGCAAUGGGCGCAAGCCUGACCGAGCGACGCCGCGUGUGCGAUGAAGGCCUUCGGGUUGUAAAGCACUGUCGAGGGGGAGGAAGGCGCAAGCUUGACCUAUCCCUGGAGGAAGCACGGGCUAAGUUCGUGCCAGCAGCCGCGGUAAGACGAACCGUGCGAACGUUGUUCGGAAUCACUGGGCUUAAAGGGCGCGUAUGCGGGCUCGCAGGUCCGGGGUGAAAGCCCCCAGCUUAACUGGGGAAGUGCCUUGGAAACCGCGGGUCUAGAGGGAGGUAGGGGCAUGUGGAACUUCGGGUGGAGCGGUGAAAUGCGUUGAUAUCCGAAGGAACGCCGGUGGCGAAAGCGACGUGCUGGAUCUCUUCUGACGCUGAGGCGCGAAAGCCAGGGUAGCGAGCGGGAUUAGAUACCCCGGUAGUCCUGGCCCUAAACGAUGGGUACUAGGUUGCGGACUUAACAUGGGUUCGCAGCCGAAGCAAAAGUGGUAAGUACCCCGCCUGGGGAGUAUGGUCGCAAGGCUGAAACUC
rnacentral:rRNA from 1 species